GUAUACAUCAGUCUCCUGUUCCCUUUCAUGUGGACUGGGUUCCUGAAGUCUCAGCAUACAUGAAAAGAAGUAUGCAUGCAGAUCUACUUAUACAUCCAAAUGAUGAAUGAAGGCUGUGGACGACACUCAGUGGCAGAACACUUCCCAGCAUGAACAAAGCCCCUCGGUUCAGUGUUCAGGACAGUGAAAUAACACAGAACAGCAGCAGCAAACCACAAAACAGAAGAUAAAAGAAAGUGAAGAAACCCACCAAA
rnacentral:lncRNA from 1 species